AUAUGCUAGUAUGAUAAAUUAACGAUUUAAGUCCUUCUUAAAUGAGGCCAUUUACCCAUAGAGGGUGCCAGGCCCGUAUAACGUUAAUGAUUACUAGAAGAUAUUUCCAAAGAGUCGUGUUGCUUGAUAGUGCAGCACUAAGUGGGUGGUAAACUCCAUCUAAAACUAAAUAUUACCAUGAGACCGAUAGCAAACAAGUACCGUGAGGGAAAGUUGAAAAGAACUCUGAAUAGAGAGUUAAAUAGUACGUGAAACUGCUUAGAGGUUAAGCCCGAUGAACCUGAAUAUCCAUUAUGGAAAAUUCAUCAUUAUAAUUAUAAUAUUUUAAAAAUAUUAUAAGAAUAGUGUGCAUUUUUUCCAUAUAAGGACAUUGUAAUCUAUUAACAAAUAAAAAUUUAUCAAAAGAUCAUUCGCUUAAGUUUAUUCAAAUUAACUUAUAUACAUAUUUUAACAUUGAGUAAAUGCGGAUGAUUUGAUAAAGUGUUGAUAGAUUUAUUAUAUAUAACGUUAAAAUUAUAUACAUAAUUUUACAAUAAUAUAUUAAUCAUGAUUUUUAUAUUUAUUGUAUGCGUUUAUAUGAUUUACAAUGCGAAAGAUUCAGGAUACCUUCGGGACCCGUCUUGAAACACGGACCAAGGAGUCUAACAUAUGUGCAAGUAAUUGGGAAUAUAAAACCUAAUUGCGAAAUAAACAUAACUU
rnacentral:rRNA from 1 species